CCAAUAGUAUGUGUCUGCAGAGCCGGAGAGCCCUGCAGCUGCAGUUUUACACGCUGCAGUUCUACACGUGUUAGCGCCCCUGCUGGUAGGUCAGUGCUAAUGCAGAUGCUGCAGUUCUACACGUGAUAGCGCCCCAUGCUGGUAGGUCAGUGCUAAUGCAGGUGCUGCAGUUCAGUAAUUGGACUUCUUUACAUGGAUAAAAUGUGUUAUUUUGCUGAAAAAAAAGAAAAGAAAAAAAACGGAAUAUGAGCUGACAGUCAAUAUUUAAGGUUUGGUUAACCCAAAACACCUUGUAGAAUUUAGGUUUAUUCCAUCCAAAACAGUUAGGAGUAAUCUAAUU